GGUUAAUUGAGUGGUUGCUGGGACUAGCAACAGGUAACCAGGGGUCUGGUGUCAUUAACCCUGUCACUUCCACACUCUCCCCACUGUCUCGGCUGGGCCUAUAGCCCACGCACGUGACAAACUGGCGGCAGCUAGUGGGAUAUAUUUAGAGAUUUUUAGUGCUAGCUAGAUUUUACCUGUAAAGGGGGUCUUAGCACUAAAAGAAAUUGCAUACUUGUUUUUGUGUAAUUUCCAAAGACCAAGCUCAGUGCUGAUUUAAAAUACAUACAAAGUGCAAAACAGUUCUCCCCUCCCAUCUUUUGUUUUUCUUUCUCUAUCCUAUUUGUGAAUAUGGAGGCCUAUCGCAAACAAUCAAAAGAGGCCUUGGAAUUGUUGUGCCAAGAAAAGAAUUUACCAACUUUUGGCAAAAAUAAGGCACAACUUAUUGCUGACCUUGUGGAGGCUGACAGCCAUAUUUUCCAGCCAGAGACGGAUACUGAAAGGGUUACCGAGCUCCCUACUACUGCAGGAGUGUUGCUUGCUGAAAUUCCUGGUGGUUGUACCCCUCAAAACAUUAAGGACAUUUGCUCAACUGAUUUAUUUCGGCAACUGAUGGCUGCAAAUCCUCAGGAGGCCCUGCAUGUGAUGAUCCAACAGCAGGCUGCAGAAAGGGAAUCUGCAGAGAGGCUAGCCGAAAGGGAGGCACAAAGGAGACAUGAGCUGGAACUUGCUAAACUGCAAGUUACCCUUCAAUCCUCACUGAACAGCAAUGCAUCAGAGUCCAGCACACGUAGGCUCCGUAAGGAUGAUUUUCCUUCCCUCGAAGAAGGGACAGAUUUGGAUGUAUUUUUAAAAAGUUUUGAGAAAGUAUGCAGGCAGCAUCAACUACCCUCAGACCAGUGGGGCAGAUAUUUAACU